UGCGCAUUUGAUCAGUCGCGGCGCCUUCGAUAGGCUACAAUGCAGCACAAUGUAUCACAAUAAUUCGACCUGAUGUGACAGGCGGAACAAUCGACCUGAUGUGACAGGCGGAACAAAUGCGUGUCGCACUUGGUUCCAGUCGGCCAGCCCAUUCAAAGCGCGGCUGGCUUGACCGCAGUGGCCAGCCCCCUUGGAGCAGACGGUUACCGUUUCGUUUCUUUCGUCUCAAUUGAGUUCCAAUGGGGUCGCUGUGUCCAUUUCUUUUACUGUCUAUGUUUCUGUUUCUGUUGGACGUGUCGGAUUAGAGAACCGAGGAGCAGAUGAUACUGCGCAUGGUAUCUGAUUCUUUUGAUGAUUUAUUCUGAACUGAUUCUGUGCUAGUGUUAUGAGCGCUGGUAAACCGAAGACUUGAAUGAAGGGCAGUAAUCGCGAAUGACAUUACAUCGAGCGCAAAAGAACCGGUGAACCGUUUUUUUUUCCAACUGGUUUCAUUUGAUCGAAUUGUCCGAAACAACCGGUUCACUUGAGCACCUGCUCCUUUGCCCCUUAAGUGACCCUUUGUCAAAGCAAAAUUUCCUCGAAUUUUUUUUGUGUGAUAACAUUUCCUUUUGUGAAUGCCUGCCCACGCCCAAUCAUAAUAUUAGUACAAUUUAUUAAUAAUAAUUUAGCCGUAAAUAAAAUGACCAACAUGAUGAUCUCAUGACCCCAUCAGACUGGGAGUAUUCCUCACGAGCAUUUUUUAAUUGCUAAAGGACAUUUUCAACACUGUGGCAGCUGGUAAGGUGUUUCAUUCUUAGCGAAGUGAUUCUGAUGUUUAUUUACUUAUUAUUAUUUUACAAGAACGAUGUGAUGUGAGAACAUGCAGAUAUGUUGUUUAUAUUGCUGUGUGUAGCCUGUAGUGUAGAAGUAACACUAGCGUGCUGUUUGAGGGAGAAAAGUUUCACAGGCAUCGAAGGGUCUGGUCUUUUUUAUGUUAUUUGACUAAAUUCUUAUUAUAUUACAGUACUUAUUUAUUUUUUAACACAUAGAGUGCCUAAAAAAUAAUUAUCACAACACUGGUAAGGAUUAUUCAGAUUUUCUCAUUCUCUGAAUUAUCAUUAUAAAAAUAAAAACAAUUCAGAAAUGAAUUAAAAUAUAAUUAUAUUUUAAAUGUGACGCAAAUAUAUAUUUUUUCUACAAUAGCAACAGUGUUUACCACAGCAAGUCCACUUUAGCCUGUAAACUUAAUAAUAUCUCACUGGAAAUAAAUGUAAAAAUAUCAAUGUAAAAAAAAAUAAUAUACCUGACAUCAAAGUGCACUGUGUAGGAUAUGAAUAACAAAUGUAGCCCGUCAUUUGUUUACAUUGCAAAGGUGUUCGAUUUUAGACAACAACUACAACAGUAAUAAAAAUAUGAAUCACUAUAUUCCAGUGUAUCAUUUUUUUAAUGUUUUGAAUCAAUAUUUAAAGUGGACUUAUUAAUUAGGUGCAAGAGCAGUAGUGAUGGUUAAAAUAAUAGAUUAAUGCUGAAAUAGUCAAUUGAGCCUUGUUCCUAGAUGGACAGAGAGUGGAAAGUAAUAGAUCAAAUGAGGAGAUGGAGACAGAGGAAGAAAAAGAGGGAAAUGUAGAGGCACAAGUGACAGAAAGAGAGCAGGGAAAGGCAAGCCAGGAGACAGAGGCUGGUGAGAAAGAGGAAAAUGUAGAGGCACAAGUGUUUUCUAUAGUUUUACUAUAACAGCUGUUCUUAAUUAUUCUGUAGAACAGAGAAGAAAAAGCCAUCAGGUAGGGACAAUUUAAUACAUUUCAGUUUCUAAUCCCAGAGCUAUUAUUAUUUUAAACUUAAAAUUGUCUUCUCUAUUGUUUCUUUUUCAGAACUGCAUCAAAGCAUUUGUAAAAUAUAUUGCUGUAUUGAUAUUUUGAGAAGCACCAUUUAAAGCCUUGUUCCAUGUGCCCCUUUUAUACUUUGACCACCUGCCCCUCCAAAGGUCUCUGCAUGGCCCUGUUCAGAGGGACUGUCAGCCACGUUAAAAAAGUUAACCGCUUAAGUCAUUUGUGGAUUAAUGCGUAUUGGUGACACGAACAAUUUAAAGCGCCAACCCUUUAAAGUUUGAGCAUAUUGUUUGCAAACUGCAAUUGAUUAAUUAAAAACAAAGUAGUUGAUAUGCUGUGUUGUUUUUGUUGUUUAGUAGCAGUAAUAUACAGUUAUUAACCGUGUCCACUGUAUUUUUUGUUGGUUUUCAUGAGACCCCCCUUGAAAUGACCAGGACCCCCCAUUGCCCCCCCAAUCAAAAUUGUCUGGAGCCGCCACUGGGAGUUCUGUCAAGCAAUGGAUCCGAGGUUUGAUUAUUUAUUGUUUAUGUCAAGGAAAAGUUCCAGGGGCGUCGCACCCGUGGGGGAUACACCCACACUUUUCACGGUGAGAGGGUUCAACACCCGCACGUUUUCUGCAGUUUUUCCGCAGUAUUGCACAAACGCCUUACUACAGUCGCUCCUCCGUUUCUCUGGCCACUCUGUGUGUACACUCGCUGCGGCUGCCUCCUCUCUGCCUCCCUCUCAAACAUGACACCGGCUUUGAGUGUGACCAGCUGAUGAUUGGCUGUUCUGCCUUAAGUCCCGCCUCUCUUGGGGUGUUAUCGGUCAGCUCAUGCUGAGGAGGCGGGAACUUAUGGUUAUGGUUAUUUACAUCUCCCUUUUCAAGGUACUUUGAAUGAGUGUUUGUGCUUUCGAGGUUUUUAAAUAAGCUUGAUAUGUGUUUGGGAAGAUGUUUUGUUGACAUGUCGAGUGUUUUCGGUAUUAUAUUUAUUAUUUUUUAGACUUAUGCUAAUUGCUAUUAUUGGGAUAUUGUUCAGCAGCUAGCUAAAUUUGGUUAUGUAACGUUAAGUGGCAUGCAAUGUAUAACAUAACUGUGAUGAAGAAGGCAGGGAAUUGAAAAGGAGGGGGGACAAACUGCCAUUGUUAAGCAGUGUAUUCAUGGGUUCAUUGCCAGUGCAACUGAUUUUGAUAUUUUGAGCAUUGUUUGUUGAUUAGCUGAAAACUUUUGUGGAUACUUACCUGUUGUGUUUGAUUGUAACGUUACCUGUUGAGGAGAAAAAAGUGAGAAAUGCUGACAUUGUUUCCAUACCUGUUGAAGAACUAUGAAAGAAAAGUCUAUAUUAUUUUAAUGUUUAAAAACAGUAAAUUGUUACAUUAUUUAUACCACUAGAGAAAAAGCUUUUUGUGGGCGUUUUUUUUCUCCCCUUUUCAGGGCGCAAGUAAGCAAAAUUUAGCAGUCACAGUCCUGUCAGACCCAUGUCACUAUCAAGCUUACCACUGUCUUUUUGUCACGCAGUAUCAUUAAAAUGCAAAAAAGAAAGUGGCAGGAGAAAAGAUUGACACCUUUUUCAAGAGAAAUCAUGUUUUUUUCAAACACAGCUGGAACUGUUUGUCCCUAUUCCUUUACCACUGCCCAUUAUUACCACUUUAGGAGAGGAAGUUGCUGGAGGCAUCAGUUUCAGAGAGAGCACAGGAAGGUUCACAGGUGUCUGAUCAUCACAACACUAUCCUUGAUGUGCCAGUGGGGAUCUUAUUCGGGGACACAGCCCCCCAACAGAUCUUCAGCCCCCCAACUCCUUGCACUUGACUUCUUCUAUUGGAAUAAUUCUUGAAGGCCAAGUGGUGAUGGAAAAAUGUGGGACCUCCCACAGGCCAUCUGUCAUCUCUUCGGUUUGAUUUAUGCACUAGACCUGAAUUACCCAAAAUCACUGACCAACACGUUUGAUUUCAUCCAGCAUGUACUAAUGACAAUGGGAUAGAUUGCUCUCAAGCCUAGAGUUCAGUCUCUAGCAAACCAGCUUUUUGCUUAAGAAACGUCUCUCUGUGAUACUUUAACACCACCCUUUGUAUUGGGAUUUAUCCACCAAUCAAAUUACUCCAUUAUCCAUUUAUGAAAAAUAAAAAGUAUGUUUAAAUAUUUAAAUGCACAGAGUUCUACAAUUGAUGUGCAGUAUUUAAAUUGGGAUAUUGUUACCAUUGUUACACCUCUGUAGUUUGGUUGUGACCUGGUAAUAUUUUAAUUACAGUAUAGUUUGUACUGUAAUGUUAUGACAUUUGGGCCAAAGACAAGUUCAGUAUGCAUUAUUUUAGUUUGCCGUGUUUGCACAAAGCUUAAAUGGUGAACUGUAGUAAGACUGUAGUUAUGUUUAGCUUACAUGUUCAGUACAUUAACAAUUGUGAGGCAUAAAAAGUGUAAGUGCAAAGAGUCAUACAAAUGAUGUAAGUGCACUAGUUAAUGUUUUACUGUUUACAUUUUUACUGUUGUUACCAACUUUACAGUGUGGUUGUGACCCAGUAAUAUUUCCACUACAGUUUGUACUGUAAUACUGUGAAACUUUGGUGAAAGAUACUGUUGAGUAUGUUUUAUUUUAGUUUGCUAUGUUUGCACAAAGCUUAAACGGUCAAAACUAAUUAUGUUUACAUUGACAUAAUUGUGAUACAUGAUUGAUGGGUAACACUUUAUAAUAACUGCACACUAUUAAUCAUUACUUAAGCAUUAGUCAACAGAAAAUUCAUAAUUUAUAAAGCAUUAAUAGACAGUAAUAAGCAGUUUAUAAAUACAGAUAUAAAUGCUUUAUUCUUGAUUUAAAACCAUAUCUAUAAUGUGUUUAAUAAUUGUAUUUUCAUACUUUAUUCAUGAUCAAUUUAUCAUUUCUCAAUGAAGUAUAGCAUUAUGUACAAACCAGUUAUUUAGGAGUUGCCAGUGAUUCAUAAGAUCACAAGAAAUGUAGUAAAUUCAGGUCAGUUAACGGUCAGUUAACUAUUUAUGUGAGCUCAUUUAAAGUGAGGACUAGUCUGUUCCGUAUUGCUCUGUGUAACUGGGAAAUGUUUUAAUAUAUAGUAGCACAGCACAUGUAGAGCAGCUAUUGCGUUCCAUAAAAGAAGGGAACUCAGAUAAAACACAGCUUUAUUAGGGGUGUCUGUGUGUGGCUGGCUGGUGUGUGGCUUUUCUUCUCACUGCAUCAUCUCACACUUCUCUUUUUCUUUAUCACAGGUAGACAACGUCUCCAGAAUGCUGAGAUACAUCCAGCCAAGUGGGGAUGAAGUCAGUUUAGUCCACUGAGACCAAGGACUACCUCACCCAACUCUGACACGCUGACCAGCCACCAUACUGAACUACAUCAAGAACAUGAUCUGGUUUGUUCAGUAUCUGAAGACCCACCUCAACUUGGCUGCAGCAGAUGCUGACUUCUACAGGAAGAGCCAAGCCUACAUCGACCUCCUCGGUUCCCUCAGAAAGCCAGUGGCGAAGUCGAACAGCAAGGUCGCUUGUAAAACCAGGUAUGACCGGUUCCUUGAGGGUGAGAUGAGGCUUCAGGAGUGCCAGGCAGUCCUCCGGAAGGCCAAGGCUGCUGAAAGACAACAGAGUGGGAUGAAAGAAAAAAUUCUGGGGGAAAGGUGUGUGUGGCUGUCAGCGAACACAAGACUGCGACAAUGCAGAUCACUGUGUUUGCCCUGACAAUGGAGGAGGGAGCAAUCCUGGACACAUACUACACCUGGAUCCACCCUUACUGCAUCCGGCCAGAUGUAGGUCAUGGAAACAGGUUAUUUGUUUCUUCAUCGGGCACAAAGAUCAGGAGUGCAACCAAUGACCUCUCUCGUCUGCACGCACGUGUGCCCAAUAUCAAAAGCCAGCAGAUACGCAGGACCGUUGAGACAGAAGUGGCUGCAAACUUCACAGAGGAGCAGAAGGCAUCGGUCACACACUACAUGGCCCAUUCGACGGCAGUGGGAAAUCAACACUACAGAAUGGUCUCCGAAGAGGGCAGAUUUGCUGCUGAAUCAUAGGCCUGGCUCUCUCUUCAACAUGAUCACAUUUACUUCAGUGAUAAUAUAUAACCUAGAUUCAGGCUUUUCACUGGAGACUAACAUUGUUAAUUUUGAAACUUGUGGCGCCUCUCAGGGUACUGUUGAGUUAGGCCUAAAUUUGUUGUCAAGAACAGACCACAGUUUAGCAAGAUCUAUGUGCCAUUCAUAGUUUUUUAACAAAUUUUUUAUGUAGAUAUGUUGGAAAUUCUAUUCUGUAAUUUAUAUGCCCUUACAUUUCUGGGUGAUCCCAGGAUAAAAUUCUCCCCUGGAGAUUUAUUAUUAACCUGGUUUUUGGGUGAUCCCUAGAUAAAAUUCUCCCCAGGUGACCUGAUCUCACCGAAGAGGGCAGAUUUGCUGCUGACUCAUAGGCCUGGGUAAAAUGUAAUUAUUUAUUUUAUGUUUUUAUUGCACUUCCUGUGUAUGUAAAUAUAUAUUUGCUCCAUUUCAUAUGUAGCACAUAAUUAAAAUUGUUGAGCCAGGACUUGUGGGGCAGAGGAAAUUUUACUCCGUAAUUUAUAGUUUUAAAGCACUGGCCUUGCAUUUCUGGGUGAUCCCAGGAUAAAAUUUAAAUCCCCCGGUGAUUUAUUGUUAACCUGAUUUUACCGAAGAGGGCAGAUUUGCUGCUGACUCAUAGGCCUGGAUAAAAUGUAUUUAUAUUUUAUGUUGUUAUUGCACUACCCGUGUAUGUAAAUAUUAAUUUGUUCCUUUUCAUAUGUAGCACAUAAUUAGUAUCAUGUUUGAAAAAUUUUCUACAACCUAAUUGGUCGAUCUGUUGGACAACAUCGCUACACAAGUGGAGCUCUCUGACUGAAAAAGAUCUGACCAAGCAGAUUCUGGAGCUCUCUAAGGAGCUGAACAGAGGGACACUAUGUCCGAUUGUGACCUUUUUGGGCUAAUGAAGCAGAUGAUGGUGAGAUGAAUAUAGGCAUCGAAUAAAUAAAAAAAACCUGGGGAAAUGCUCUGGCCUCCUGAAUACAGACAGCCGGGACCUGCGGAGAGAAAAGCAGUGCAACCACGCUGUCAUUGCUUAAUUUUUGUUCUUGUUUAAGGUUCUGGGGUUGACAUAUUCUUUUAACUGCUGCUAUUUAAAUUUCUUUCUUUUUUCAGUCUCUGCCAGUUCAUCAGUUUUGUUCUUGUUGUCAUUCUAUUUAUUGUUAAUUUUUAAGCUGUGCUUUGUUGUUUAUAGUUCCUUCGUGUUGCCAGAAUAAAAUGUGCUACAGA